rnacentral:rRNA from 1 species
UCCGUAGGUGAACCUGCGGAAGGAUCAUUAGUGAAUAUUAGCGCAUCUACUUGUAGAGCGUGACCUCCACUUUCUAACUCUGUGCAUUUAUUGGCGGAAGGACUUGAGCAAUCGAGUUUCCUUCUGCGGCUCAUUUUAAAACACUAGUUAAAGUAUGUAACGAAAUAUCGAAACAAAAAAAACUUUCAACAACGGAUCUCUUGGCUUGCUCAUCGAUGAAGAACGCAGCGAAAUGUGAUAAGUAAUGUGAAUUGCAGAAUUCAGUGAAUCAUCGAAUCUUUGAACGCACCUUGCGCUCUCUGGCAUUCCGGAGAGCAUGUCUGUUUGAGUGUCAUGAACUCUUCAACCCACCAGUUUCUUGUAGACUGAUUGGUGUUGGUUUCUGAGCGUUGCUGGUCUUCGGAUCUAGCUCGUUCGUAAUAUAUUAGCAUCUCUAAUUCGAACUCGGAUUGACUCAGUGUAAUAGACUAUUCGCUGAGGACACGCUCUUGUAGUGUGGCCGAAUGAGAUCUCAGUAGAAGCUUCCAACUACUUUAGUCAACUUUAGAUUAGACCUCAGAUCAGGCAGGAUUACCCGCUGAACUUAAGCAUAUCAAUAAGCGGAGGAA